rnacentral:rRNA from 1 species
UACAGAGGUCCCGAGCGUUGUUCGGAUUCAUUGGGCGUAAAGGGUGCGUAGGCGGCGGGGCAAGUCUGAUGUGAAAUCCCGGGGCUCAACCCCGGAACUGCAUUGGAUACUGCCUUGCUAGAGUACUGGAGAGGGAACUGGAAUUUACGGUGUAGCAGUGAAAUGCGUAGAGAUCGUAAGGAAGGCCAGUGGCGAAGGCGAGUUCCUGGACAGUUACUGACGCUGAGGCACGAAGGUCAGGGGAGCAAACGGGG